GACGAACGCUGGCGGCGUGCUUAACACAUGCAAGUCGAACGGAAAGGCCCUGCUUUUGUGGGGUGCUCGAGUGGCGAACGGGUGAGUAACACGUGAGUAACCUGCCCUUGACUUUGGGAUAACUUCAGGAAACUGGGGCUAAUACCGGAUAGGAGCUCCUGCUGCAUGGUGGGGGUUGGAAAGUUUCGGCGGUUGGGGAUGGACUCGCGGCUUAUCACCUUGUUGGUGGGGUAGUGGCUUACCAAGGCUUUGACGGGUAGCCGGCCUGAGAGGGUGACCGGCCACAUUGGGACUGAGAUACGGCCCAGACUCCUACGGGAGGCAGCAGUGGGGAAUAUUGCACAAUGGGCGGAAGCCUGAUGCAGCAACGCCGCGUGCGGGAUGACGGCCUUCGGGUUGUAAACCGCUUUCGCCUGUGACGAAGCGUGAGUGACGGUAAUGGGUAAAGAAGCACCGGCUAACUACGUG
rnacentral:rRNA from 1 species